rnacentral:rRNA from 1 species
UACGUAGGCAGCAAGCGUUGUUCGGAGUUACUGGGCGUAAAGGGUGCGUAGGCGGGUCUUUAAGUCAGAGGUGAAAUCCUGGAGCUCAACUCCAGAACUGCCUUUGAUACUGAGGAUCUUGAGUUCGGGAGAGGUGAGUGGAACUGCGAGUGUAGAGGUGAAAUUCGUAGAUAUUCGGAAGAACACCAGUGGCGAAGGCGGCUCACUGGACUGGUAUUGACGCUGAGGUGCGAAAGCGUGGGGAGCAAACAGG